UUUGGUGGAAAGUUUUGUGCUCUGGUUGCCAGAAGUCAACACUAUUGUACCAAAACCUGGUUGUGUGAUCUCUUUGAGCUCUGGGGGGCAGUUGAGCAGCACAGCAACUUGGCAAUAACUUUGUGCCAAUCUGGAGCUGGGACUUGCUGUUACUCUGGGUCUGCUGCCUGUCAGACUCCAGAGGCUUCAAACCCAGGGCAGACAUUUGCCAUAGAGUGUUUGAAUCCUAAAUGCCCUGGUGCAUUGCUCUGAUAUUCUUCUGGCUUUUUGCUGUGGGGGUUGGGAACAGAGACAACCCUGCAGCUGAUGCACUGCUGUGUUGUAUUUACCUGCAGAUCUCACAGCUCCUUUUCCUGGCAAAUCCUAAGGAAACCCUUUCUAGGUAAAGACAGCUUUUCUUCUCUAGGAGGCUGAUUUUAAUUAAGCACAGAUUUUGCACAACACAGCCUGUGCCUGCCUGUGGUUUGGAAGCCUCUACGGUGUUGCCACCACAGCUGGUGACUGUGGCACAUCCCUGAGCAGGGACAUCUGCAGCUGCAGCCCUCAGAGGGGCUGGGAUCACCCAGCAGCACUGCCAGGGCUGUGGUGGCCACUGGCUGCCCUGGACUGGCUCCAAAGGUCUUGGAAAAGGAGCAAACAGAAGGCAAGGAGUGUGAGGCUCUUGAGAGCUGUGGCCAGGAAGUGCACAGAAGAAAAGCCUGUUGGAGUGCUGGCCUGGGUUUGGGAGGAGCCAAGUAUCUUGGAGCUGUGAGGCUUUUCCUGACAGAAAUCCAUGAUGGGGAUGUUUUCCCUGGCUGUCCCAAGGGGAAAGAACAGCUCUGGAGACUUUGCAGCCACAGGCUGGGGAUGCAUCCCCUGAAAACCUGUUCAGGAUUGUUCAUCUGACUCUGCCUGUGGCUUCCAGGGACCCCUCCUGGAGUUCUGGAUAUUCCACUGCUGUUUUUUAAAGAAGGAAUUCCAAACACACUGGGCAGCAGAUGAGUGGGAACACUGCACCAAAACCUGUUGGAAUUCCAGCUUCCAGCUCCACAUGGGGCACUACAUCCAGCUAUGAACACUCACCAGAGCACUUUUGCCAUGGACCAAGUCAUCCCCUGCAGCAGGAAGUCUCCCAUCCCCAUGGAUUCCCCUCCCACUGACCCAGCGUGUUUUCCACCUCCUUUGUCCCAGACAGGAGACACUGGCUGCUCCUCUGGGCAAGGGAAAGGCUCCUGUGCUAUUCCUAAAAACAGAACACUUGGAAUUAGUGCCCUGGAAACACAGACCUGUCCUUCCAGGGUCAUUGCCAGCAUCAAAUGAAAAUGACAUCCUGCCCCAGUGCAUUUCCAGCAGGACUGGACACUCCUGGCCAAGGUGACCAGUCCAUGGAAGUUGCACCUAGGACAAUCCAGGGGGAUUUAAAGUUGGAUUCUUUCAGAUUCCAUUGUGCAGAAGCUCCAAUUCUUUUUGCCACCUCUUGUUUAAAUGUCUCCCUGCAGGAAGAGGUCAAUCAGUCUUUUUAAUGACCAGAUUCCAGAGGCAGGGAAAACCAACCAGCAUUCCCUGAACAUCUCUAUCACUUCUGUGUCCAUCUGCAACGAGUGGCUGAAGGCCAGGAGCCAGCCCAGGACAGGCUCAGGGAUGAGGCUUCCAACACAAAUCAUUCCAAGAUGAUUCCAUGAUGUCUCCCUGCAUUCAUUUUGCAUGGUUUCCUCUCAAAUUUAGAUGAUUCUUUUAAAGGAAAAAAAAAAUCUAAAAUUAUUUCAGGA